UCCAGACUCCUACGGGAGGCAGCAGUGGGGGAUAUUGCACAAUGGGGGAAACCCUGAUGCAGCGACGCCGCGUGUGGGAAGACGGUCCUCUGGAUUGUAAACCACUGUCCCCAGGGACGAAGAUGACGGUAGCAGAGGAGGAAGCUCCGGCUAACUACGUGCCAGCAGCCGCGGUAAUACGUAGGGAGCGAGCGUUGUCCGGAUUUACUGGGUGUAAAGGGUGCGUAGGCGGCUUGGCAAGUCAGUAGUGAAAUCCAUGGGCUUAACCCAGGAACUGCUAUUGAAACUGUCGAGCUUGAGUGAAGUAGAGGUAGGCGGAAUUCCCGGUGUAGCGGUGAAAUGCGUAGAGAUCGGGAGGAACACCAGUGGCGAAGGCGGCCUACUGGGCUUUAACUGACGCUGAGGCACGAAAGCGUGGGUAGCAAACAGGAUUAGAUACCCCAGUA
rnacentral:rRNA from 1 species